rnacentral:rRNA from 1 species
AACGAACGCUGGCGGCAGGCUUAACACAUGCAAGUCGAACGCCCCGCAAGGGGAGUGGCAGACGGGUGAGUAACGCGUGGGAAUCUACCCAUCUCUACGGAAUAACUCAGGGAAACUUGUGCUAAUACCGUAUACGCCCUUCGGGGGAAAGAUUUAUCGGAGAUGGAUGAGCCCGCGUUGGAUUAGCUAGUUGGGGGGGU